CUGUGCUUUUGAUUAAACUUUCUAUUAACCAACCUUUCAGAUUAAAGCUGAUUUACUAGCAGGAGUCAAAGCUGUAGAGCUUAAGCUAACCUAAUAGCUAAUGAAAACUUUGUUGGACAUUAGUGUUUGAUUUCAAAGUGUUAAAUACUUUGUGUUUUGACAGAACAUAUUAACUUUACAUUUGGUAUUGAUUUAGGGUCAAAGUGCAGUUGAGUUAGCAGCCAGAAAUCUAAUAACUUUGUUGGUUAACACCAUGGCCACAACUAGUUCACCAAGCCCUACAGAGACCAGACAGCCAGAGCCUAGAAAUGUAACUGUACAGCAAGAGAUGGCAAAGUUUGUGCAUGUUUACUCAAUCAUAUGUUUUUAUUUGUAAUAUUGUGAAUUUGAUGUUCUCAUUUGGUUUGUGGAUGUGUUUAACAGAGACAUUUAAAUUCAUAUAUAAUCAGAACUGAGAGAGUCUAAAAAAAAUCAAAUUAUCUAAUAUUUGACUAUAUUAUUUAUAAAUGCAUACAUAUAUAUGUCCUGUACAGAGCUUUUCCAGGAUACUUCAGAUCAAACUUUAGUCGAGGUAAAAAGAGGUGUUUAACUUCCACCAAGCAGCCUCCUAGAACAACCAGCAAGACCAUCACUCUCAAUUUUUAUCUGCUUCCAAAAAACACAUCCUACACACCUUUGCCAGUUGAGGAGCUUGAACUCCUUCAAGCUGGCAUGGGAAGACAGACGGUGUCGCUGCCUGACAACAGUGACCAUGCAGAGGUACAGUAGUCAGUUCAUAGUUUUGACUUUCCGUGUUUAAGGCGGUCAUUGGGCAACACUUUUUACCCAAAUUACAUGUUAACGUCUAUAUUGUAGUGUUUUAUUUCUCUCUCUCUUUUCUUUGUUGUCAAAUUUCAAAGGUCCUGGCUGAAACAUUCCCAAAAAUGGAAGAUCUUUAUGGGGGAUGGCUCUUGCAUAAAGCAACAGUGAACACUUUCAGGUUGAACAUGUGGCUGAUGCACAGUCUCUGAUGUUGCUGGCUGAUGAAGUUAUAAACUGUGGAUACACAAGCCAGAUCAAGCUGGAUAAUAAACAAAACACCAUUCGACUGAUUCCAAUGCUUCAGCAAGUGAGAAAGGGCAUGGAACUGUAUGGUCUGUUCAGUCAGAUGGCUGCAAACCCUGAAGCUUUACACACUCUUUGUUCCUGGGAAGAUCAUCAAAAUGCUGAUUUCAUAAUGAACUGCCGACCACAGUUCAGUGAAAAGGGGACAUCUCGGGAGAGAACUGAAAGAUUAUAAACUUCAUGCAAGAUUUUUGCCAGGAGCUUGAAAUAUCAGGUACUAUGCUAUACAGUACUGCAGGCAAGUAACUAAUAAUCAGUACAGUUGAGGUAUCCAGUAGGUCUGUUAUGCUGUUAUGCCACUUGUCCAAUUUUUUUUUAAUUUACUUAUUUCGAACAUGAAAUUAACAGACAGCCGAUGCAGCUUAUACAAAAUAAAACCGCAGCUAAAACAAGGCAUCACAUAAAUUUACAAAUCAUACAUGUUCGAAAGGGAGUGGGAAGAAGACAGAACUUAUUUAAUCCCACCCUGAACAAGGUUACUUUAUUAACAAUUUAUUUCUAUAUAACCAAAAUUGAAUGGCAAUAACAUAUAGCUAUCCAACACACCAGAAGCAAGCGUCACAGCAAAUCAAAACAAAGUAGUUCUGAGUGCUCACACUUAUCAUGACAGGGUUGUCUCUUCCAGGAUGAUAAUAACCAGGCUAUAAGAUGAUUACACGAUUACUACAUGAUUAUUUAAAUUGAAAUUCCUUAAGUUCAAAUUGUUUGUAACAUGUUUUAUUUCUUAUAUUUUAAACAUCACAGUG